UUUGCCAGCGCGUUAUGGCGGGAACUCUAAGGAGACUGCCGGUGAUAAACCGGAGGAAGGUGGGGACGACGUCAAGUCAUCAUGGCCCUUACGGGAUGGGCUACACACGUGCUACAAUGGCAGGUACAGAGGGCAGCAAUACCGCGAGGUGGAGCGAAUCCCACAAAGCUUGUCGUAGUCCGGAUUGGAGUCUGCAACUCGACUCCAUGAAGUCGGAAUCGCUAGUAAUCGUAGAUCAGAAUGCUACGGUGAAUACGUUCCCGGGCCUUGUACACACCGCCCGUCACACCAUGGGAGUGGGAUGCAAAAGAAGUGGCUAGUCUAACCUUCGGGAGGACGGUCACCACUUUGUGUUUCAUGACUGGGGUGAAGUCGUAACAAG
rnacentral:rRNA from 13 species